rnacentral:rRNA from 1 species
CCCGGUGGCUAUACCGAUGGGGAAACACCUCUUCCCAUUCCGAACAGAGAAGUUAAGCCCAUCAGGGCCGAUGGUACUAUACUGGUGACGGUAUGGAACAGCUAAAGGCUGAAAUCGAUC